rnacentral:sRNA from 1 species
GACCAAACCAUUCACCGACACAACUACC